AGAGUUUGAUCCUGGCUCAGAUUGAACGCUGGCGGCAGGCCUAACACAUGCAAGUCGAGCGGUAGAGAGAAGCUUGCUUCUCUUGAGAGCGGCGGACGGGUGAGUAAUGCCUAGGAAUCUGCCUGGUAGUGGGGGAUAACGUUCGGAAACGGACGCUAAUACCGCAUACGUCCUACGGGAGAAAGCAGGGGACCUUCGGGCCUUGCGCUAUCAGAUGAGCCUAGGUCGGAUUAGCUAGUUGGUGAGGUAAUGGCUCACCAAGGCGACGAUCCGUAACUGGUCUGAGAGGAUGAUCAGUCACACUGGAACUGAGACACGGUCCAGACUCCUACGGGAGGCAGCAGUGGGGAAUAUUGGACAAUGGGCGAAAGCCUGAUUCCAGCAGCCGC
rnacentral:rRNA from 1 species